rnacentral:rRNA from 1 species
AGAGUUUGAUCAUGGCUCAGAACGAACGCUGGCGGCGUGCCUAACACAUGCAAGUCGUGCGAGAAAGUUCCUUCGGGGACGAGUAAAGCGGCGCACGGGUGAGUAACACGUAGGUAACCUGCCCUCGAGCUCGGAAUAACCUACCGAAAGGUGGGCUAAUACCGGAUAUGACCACGGGAGUUUCGGCUUCUGCGGUGAAAGGUGGCCUCUACUUGUAAGCUACCACUCAAGGAUGGGCCUGCGUACCAUUAGCUAGUUGGUGGGGUAAUGGCCCACCAAGGCUGUGAUGGUUAGCUGGUCUGAGAGGAUGGCCAGCCACACUGGGACUGAAACACGGCCCAGACUCCUACGGGAGGCAGCAGUGGGGGAUAUUGCGCAAUGGGCGAAAGCCUGACGCAGCGACGCCGCGUGGGUGAUGAAGGCCUUCGGGUCGUAAAGCCCUGUCGAGGGGGAAGAAUCGGUUGCGACCUAACACGUCGUAGCCCUGACGGUACCCCUAAAGGAAGCACCGGCUAACUCCGUGCCAGCAGCCGCGGUAAUACGGAGGGUGCGAGCGUUGUUCGGAAUCACUGGGCGUAAAGCGCGUGUAGGCGGCCCACUAAGUCUGAUGUGAAAGCCCGGGGCUCACCCCCGGAAGUGCAUUGGAAACUGGUGGACUCGAGUCCCGGAGAGGAGAGUGGAAUUCCUGGUGUAGCGGUGAAAUGCGUAGAUAUCAGGAGGAACACCGGUGGCGAAGGCGGCUCUCUGGACGGUGACUGACGCUGAGACGCGAAAGCGUGGGGAGCAAACAGGAUUAGAUACCCUAGUAGUCC